rnacentral:misc_RNA from 1 species
UAAUAAUAGUGUUUUAUAUGGGCACUUUUUAAAUCCAUAUCCACCUUGUGUGCAAUUGUCAGGUCGAUCUUCUUUUUUCAUGGAGGAUCGACCAAACAUCAACCUUUAUUUUUUAACUCUUUGUCUGAAAAAAUAUUAUGAAUAAACAAUUCAAAAUA